rnacentral:rRNA from 1 species
UGAAUGUGAAAUCCCCCGGCUUAACCUGGGAACUGUCAUUUGGAAACUUGGCGAGCUUGAGUCUUGUAGAGGAGAGUAGAAUUUCCACGUGUAGCGGUGAAAUUGCGUAGAGAUCUGGAGGAAUACCGGUGGCGAAGGCGACUCUCUGGACUGUAACUGACGCUCAGGUGCGAAAGCGUGGGGAGCAAACAGGAUUAGAUACCCUGGUAGUCCACGCCGUAAACGAUGUCUACUUGGAGGUUGUGCCCUUGAGGCCUUUCUUCCUGAGCUUACGCGUUUAGUCAAUCCCCUGGGGAAUUCCGGCCCCAGGAUUGAACUUCAAUGAAUUUGCCGGGGCCCCCCCCAACCGUGGAACCUGUUGUUUUAUUUCAUGCCACCCCGAAAACCUUUACUACUCCUGGCCUUCCUAUGACUUUCCUGAGAUUGAUUGUUUCCUUCCGGAAAUCUAA